rnacentral:rRNA from 1 species
AUGGCUACCGCGCGCGCAGCUCACGCGUUAACAGCGCUCACCUGCGCGCUUAGCUCCUUAGCCAUCCUCGCCGCCAUCCUCUUCACGCUCCUCCUGCUGAUCGCUGGUCCCUUGCAGCUGCGUGUCCCGACCAGCUACGCUGUGGUCGACUGCGCCACGCCGCCGACUUCCUCGGACGACAGCGCUGCUGCCUUCCGCGACAGCCUCCUGCCACUCCUGGCCGCGCUACCCGCAGCUGCCGCGCCGACGGGGUUCGCGACCCUUCAGUCCGGCGCCGGGGCGUUUGCCCGCGGCUUCUGCCUGGGCGGCUCUGCGCCGAGAGAGUGCCUCGCGUGCCUCGCCGCGGGCGCCAAGAACCUCACCGGCUGCGGCGCCAGCAGGCGCGCCGGUGUGUGGAGGGCCGAGGGCUGCUUCCUAUCCUACGCCGACGACAAUACCUCCUCUGCGUACGAGGAAUCUUUCCUCCAGGUCGUCUACUACGGCGAGGAAGUCUUACCCCCCGACAUCUCCUUCAGUGCGGACACUUCCGACCCCGACUGCUUCGAGCCGCGGAGGCUCGUCGCGCUCGCGGAGUCCCUGGCGCGGCCAACAGCUCGGGCGCGCGCGUCGUCACCGACGCGGCCGCACUCUCGAGCAACGCCACUGGGAAUAAGAACAACAGGCUGGUGGCUUGACGGCGAGUAUGUUUAUGUGGCCGCCGACGUGGUCGGCUACAACUGCUUCCUACGGAUCGAGGCUACAGUUCCUACAGUUCUGCGCCUGGCGAAAUAUAUGAGUGAGCAGUCCUUCCUCUUCCCGAUUCUUGGAAGAUCCUGUCAUGAUAACCUUGUGCGUCGCCACACUGCUCGCACUGGUUUUUACCGCUCUCACCGCGGCAAUCGCGUGCGUCGAUGUGAGAAAGAACCGCCCAGUGGCGCCGGGAAUGUAGCAGCAGCAGGAGGAGGAACAGGACUCAACGUGUCAUUUGAUGAUCUAAACCCUUCCUUCGAAGAUCAAGGAACAGGCAUGGGAUCACCUAAAUUUUGGGAGCACUGGAUAUUUUCCCAUGCUAGGCGCUCAUCUGGUAAUGGUCAUCAACUAGAUGUAACACUGUUAAACUUCCUUAACAAACAAUGCAUGCCAAUCAGACCAGCAAGCAGUUCCAUAGGCAACUAUUUCUUUCAGAAAGCUCCAACUAUUCCUGUUCCUAGCUCAAAAAAUUUGAAUUCAGACUUAGCAGUUGCUGAAUUCUCUGUCAUUGUCAGUGAGAUCUACCUCCUUAUACAUUUUGUAACAAGUUCAGAUGCAGAUAGUGUUGAUGCAUAUUUUUUCAAAAAUAAUUUCAAAAUGGCUCUUCUACAACUCCAAAUCAACGCUGCAAGUUGUGGCUCUAGUCUGCGCUGGAGAUCUACCAUAUUGGGUGGCCACGCAUUCUGGUUCAACCCGAAUGAUGAUUUGGUUUUGUGUUUGUUUUGCUGUGAAAAGCUUGUGGGUUGGAUUGGUUUGGGUGCUGAGAAUUUUCAUGUGGCUAGGGCCGGACAUGGGUGUUGA